rnacentral:rRNA from 1 species
GUGGGGAAUAUUGGACAAUGGGCGAAAGCCUGAUCCAGCCAUGCCGCGUGUGUGAAGAAGGUCUUCGGAUUGUAAGGCACUUUAAGUUGGGAGGAAGGGCAGUAAGUUAAUACCUUGUUGUUUUGACGUUACCGACAGAAUAAGCACCGGCUAACUUCGUGCCAGCAGCCGCGGUAAUACGAAGGGUGCAAGCGUUAAUCGGAAUUACUGGGCGUAAAGCGCGCGUAGGUGGUUUUGUAAGUUGGAGGUGAAAUCCCCGGGCUCAACCUGGGAACUGCCUCCAAAACUGCAUGACUAGAGUACGGUAGAGGGUAGUGGAAUUUCCUGUGUAGCGGUGAAAUGCGUAGAUAUAGGAAGGAACACCAGUGGCGAAGGCGACUACCUGGACUGAUACUGACACUGAGGUGCGAAAGCGUGGGGAGCAAACAGGAUUAGAUACCCCAGUAGUCC